GUGAUCAUACCAGUACUAAUGCACCGGAUCCUAUCAGAACUCCGAAGUUAAGCGUGCUUGGGCGAGAGCAGUACUAGGAUGGGUGACCCCCUGGGAAGUCCUCGUGUUGCACCU
rnacentral:rRNA from 1 species